rnacentral:rRNA from 1 species
GAACGGGUGAGUAACGCGUAGAUGAUCUGCCUUUCGGUUGGGGAUAGCCCAUGGAAACAUGGGGUAAUACCGAAUAAGAUCCUUUUGCUUUGGCGAGAGGAUGAAAGGGGCUUCGGCCUCGCCGAGGGAUGAGUCUGCGUAUGAUUAGCUAGUUGGUGGGGUAAAGGCCUACCAAGGCGACGAUCAUUAGCCGGCCUGAGAGGGUGACCGGCCACAUUGGGACUGAGACACGGCCCAGACUCCUACGGGAGGCAGCAGCUAAGAAUCUUCCGCAAUGGGCGAAAGCCUGACGGAGCGAUGCCGCGUGGAUGAAGAAGGCGGAGACGUUGUAAAAUCCUUUUCUCACAGAAGAAUAAUGCUCAGAGGUAAUGCUGGGCAGAUGACGUUAUGUGAGGAAUAAGCACCGGCCAAUUACGUGCCAGCAGCCGCGGUAACACGUAAGGUGCGAGCGUUGUUCGGAAUUAUUGGGCGUAAAGGG